ensembl:piRNA 21ur-1475 ncRNA
UGGUGGAUCGUCAUUUGGUGG